CCUACGGGAGACAGCAGUGAGGAAUAUUGGUCAAUGGACGAGAGUCUGAACCAGCCAAGUAGCGUGAAGGAUGACUGCCCUAUGGGUUGUAAACUUCUUUUAUAUGGGAAUAAAAUGUUCCACGUGUGGGAUUUUGUAUGUACCAUAUGAAUAAGGAUCGGCUAACUCCGUGCCAGCAGCCGCGGUAAUACGGAGGACCCGAGCGUUAUCCGGAUUUAUUGGGUUUAAAGGGAGCGUAGGUGGAUUGUUAAGUCAGUUGUGAAAGUUUGCGGCUCAACCGUAAAAUUGCAGUUGAAACUGGCAGUCUUGAGUACAGUAGAGGUGGGCGGAAUUCGUGGUGUAGCGGUGAAAUGCUUAGAUAUCACGAAGAACUCCGAUUGCGAAGGCAGUUCACUGGACUGCAACUGACACUGAGGCUCGAAAGUGUGGGUAUCAAACAGGAUUAGAUACCCUAGUAGUC
rnacentral:rRNA from 1 species